AGGAACUAUCGUACGUCUUCUUUGUAUCCAAGAUGAUCUUCGAUCCCUUUUAAAAAUUACUCUGGUAGGAAGUUUUUCUCGGGCCAAGUAUAGUAUGGUCCCUAUUUGGGGCAGCAAUUGCUUGUUGGACGAAUGGCUAUCCGGCUGAGACGAUCUGUGUUGCUGAUUCCGUAAUUUUCACGGGUGGAACGAUGAUUAAUGUGAUUAUUGUCCGCGGAUAUGAUGAUGCCCAGCUCUUUAUUGCAAAGUUAUUUGUUGGAGUUGGGAUUGGAAUGAUUUCCAUGGCUUGUCCUCGUUAUUACAUAUCCCACGGUUUCACAUCGACAAGAAUAAGAGGUUCCCUUGUUAGAUUACAUUGCUUUUGCUUUGCAAUUGGGAAAUGUUUGUCUCUCAGUUAUGGUCUAUUUGCAACGACUCAGAUUAUAUUAAAAGAAGAAACCAAACAUCACCGGGAAGAGGAGAUCUCAACAGGACGAAUCGAUCAUCCCAGCCAUGGUUAAGUUCAACUGGCUCCAAAUCGUUGGUAAGAUAGUGCAG